UACGUAGGGAGCAAGCGUUGUCCGGAAUCAUUGGGCGUAAAGAGCUUGUAGGUGGUUUGUCGCGUCUGCUGUGAAAAUCCGAGGCUCAACCUCGGACUUGCAGUGGGUACGGGCAGACUAGAGUGUGGUAGGGGAGACUGGAAUUCCUGGUGUAGCGGUGGAAUGCGCAGAUAUCAGGAGGAACACCGGUGGCGAAGGGCGGGGUCUCUGGGCCGAUACUGACGCUGGAGGAGCGAAAGCGUGGGGAGCAAACAGG
rnacentral:rRNA from 1 species